rnacentral:rRNA from 1 species
GAUGAACGCUAGCGGGAGGCUUAACACAUGCAAGUCGAGGGGCAGCAUAGGGUAGCAAUACUCUGAUGGCGACCGGCAAACGGGUGAGUAACGCGUAUGUAACCUACCCUGUACAGGGGGAUAACCCGGAGAAAUUCGGACUAAUAUCCCAUAACAAUAUCCGGGGGCAUCUUUGGAUAUUUAAAGUUCCGGCGGUACGGGAUGGGCAUGCGUAACAUUAGCUAGUUGGUAAGGUAACGGCUUACCAAGGCUUUGAUGUUUAGGGGUCCUGAGAGGGUGGUCCCCCACACUGGUACUGAGACACGGACCAGACUCCUACGGGAGGCAGCAGUGAGGAAUAUUGGUCAAUGGGCGCAAGCCUGAACCAGCCAUCCCGCGUGCAGGAAGACGGCGCUAUGCGUUGUAAACUGCUUUUCCAGGGAGAGAAACUUGCGCACGUGUUGCGCAAUUGACGGUACCCUGGGAAUAAGCAUCGGCUAACUCCGUGCCAGCAGCCGGGUAAACUAGUCUACG